rnacentral:sRNA from 1 species
AUUUUACAUUUCACAUUGCUUCAACAUUGUUUCUAGUCAUCGUUCGACACUCAAUAUGAAAGCUUUCCUAAUGUGCGUUUUAGUCAUACCAAUUGUUUUGGUAGUUUCGGAUAUUUGCAAAGAAUUACUCUCUGAAUGCAAGCUAGACUCAGAUUGUUGCUCAACAUUCUGCAAGUUUGAUGGCUUAUUUACACCUAACGAAAAAGGAGAGUGUCAGAUAAAAAGCGAUCGCCCAAGUCUAUUGGAGUGGUAACAUUUUGAAAUUUGAAAGAAUUUUUAUUUAAUGUAUUGAAGAAGCAUAUACCAUAUGGAGAUUUGAUAGUAAAUUCAUCCUUUUUUAAAAUUUCA